rnacentral:rRNA from 1 species
GAUGAACGCUGGCGGCGUGCCUAAUACAUGCAAGUCGAGCGAACAGACGAGGAGCUUGCUCCUCUGACGUUAGCGGCGGACGGGUGAGUAACACGUGGAUAACCUACCUAUAAGACUGGGAUAACUUCGGGAAACCGGAGCUAAUACCGGAUAAUAUAUUGAACCGCAUGGUUCAAUAGUGAAAGACGGUUUUGCUGUCACUUAUAGAUGGAUCCGCGCCGCAUUAGCUAGUUGGUAAGGUAACGGCUUACCAAGGCAACGAUGCGUAGCCGACCUGAGAGGGGGAUCGGACAGACUGGGACUUAGACACGGCCCAGACUCCUGCGGGAGGCAGGAGUGGGGAAUGUUCCAAAAUGGACGAAAGUCUGAGGGAGCAAGGCGGGGUGAACGAUGAAGGCCUUCGGUUCGUAAAGUGCUGUUGUAAGGGAAGAACAAGUGCCGCAGGAAAUGGCGGCAGCCUGAGGGUACCUGGCGAGAAAGCCACGGCUAACUACGUG